rnacentral:misc_RNA from 1 species
GUAGUGACACUCAGAUCCAUAAUUUUCACGGGUUUGAUCAAUCCAACAGCGCCUCCUUAGCUUUGCAGAAUAUAGUGGUUAACACCUCUGACAUGAAUACCUUUCUGGAUUGUCAUCAGUUCAUUUUGGAUGAAGGAUUCAACCAGGGGCUUUCCUUUGGUAAUAGUGAUAGUAAAAAGUUUGGCAGGAGUGCUGAGAUUAUCAACCAGCCCAUCAAUCCCCGUCCUUCUGCUUUCAUGGGACCACAAUGUGCACUCUGGGACUGCACCCGGCCUG